UUGCAUCGAGACGAAUUGGAAGGUUUUAAGGCGGAGGCAAGAGAAAGAAGAAAUGGAAUCGGUCGAGUUGACUCAAAAUUCAAUCAAAGCUAAAACCAUAAAAUCUAGAAACGAAUAACAGUGACUUUGAUUGAUUUCUUUUCCUUUGUUUAAUCCUUGAGCCUCUACUUUCUCUCUCUCUCUCUCAAAUUGUUUUCCUUUUUAAUGUCUCUCUUUUGCUUCUUUUUCCUCUUUCUAGGAACGUUCUUCUUUAACUCGGUGUGUGAGACUGGGAUCAGACAUGGGUUCACAAACUAACCAUGGUUACUUUUUUACUCCACUCUCUAGUCUCCCAUCCUCUCUCUCUUUCUCUCUCUCUAUUUUUUGCUGUG
rnacentral:lncRNA from 1 species